rnacentral:rRNA from 1 species
ACGCUCGACACCUACGGGNGGCAGCAGUGGGGGAUAUUGCACAAUGGGGGAAACCCUGAUGCAGCAACGCCGCGUGAAGGAAGAAGGUCUUCGGAUUGUAAACUUCUGUCCUCAGGGAAGAUAAUGACGGUACCUGAGGAGGAAGCUCCGGCUAACUACGUGCCGGCAGCCGCGGUAAUCUGAGCGGGCUGGCAAGGC